CAAAAAGAUGAAGGGGAUGUCAGAGAAAAAUGAUGACUCCUGAUCUCAUAUAAAAUGUCCUGCUGAAGAUAUCAAAAAAUAACCUAUUUACAAACACGAUUUUUAAAAUGGCAAUCCAACUCAACACCCAAAGA
rnacentral:lncRNA from 1 species